UUUGUUCAAAUAAUUUUCAGUGCAGAUUUCAAUAUGCCAAAAAUUCUUCAAUAAGAUCUUGUUGUUUAAGACGCAUCCCUUAUGAAAUGAAGAGAGACUGUGGCAAAAGUGAUCUCAUCUGCAUUCUUCCAGAAGGUGGAGCUCUAAGAACCAAUUGUAGUUCAGUCUCAGUUCAGAUUAAAAACAGAGCAGACAGACUUCUAUUGAGUCACUAAUACUCUAGGAGGAAACUGUAAGUCUUGGAUCUCUAAGUCAUUGUCUCUUAUUAGUGCAGAUGUUGCUCCUGGUAUUCACUAUAGUUUCUAUUCUAAAAGAGAAGCAUGUUUUGGAAGGAAAAGAUGUUACACUGAUCUGCAACUACACUGAACUUGUUCAGAAUUUGCAGUGGUACCGUCAGUAUCCCGGAUCCAAACCUGAGAACAUAAUUUUAUACUUUGAAACCAGCCCCAAAUCAGAGCCCUCUCUCCGUCUGACCGCUGUAGCUGAUAAAGUCAUCAAACGUAUGAAUCUGACAAUCUCUUCUACAGAAGUCAAAGACUCUGCCAUGUACUAUUGUGCCCUGGAGCCCACAGUGACAGGAAACACAACUGCACCCUACAAAAACUGAGUGAGAAAUGAUAUUCAAAAUGGAAAAUCAUUUUGCUAAAUU